AUAAAACAUGAAACCAAAUAAAAUUAGGGUUCAUUCGAUCAUCUCUGCUGCUUCCAUAUCUCAUUCCGAAAUACUCCAAGACUGAAGAACUUCGAAGGUGCUAGGGUUCCAUGUCUAUUCGAUCAUCUCCUUCCAGAAAUACUCCCAAGAGAGUCUGAAGAACACUUCGAAGGUGCGAUUGAAAGGUUUAAUCGAAGGUGCUGCUGAUUGAUUCUCUCCUUCGAAGGUGCGAUUGAAGAGGGAUGUCAUUGAAGCUAGGGAUUUUGAAUACAAGGCAUGGGCUCAUGUUCAAACCUUCUCUUGAUGAGCAAACUCUGGAAUUGCAGGUUAAAACAUAAUUGGAGCUGAGGCCAUCUCACAGCAAAGGCUAGCCGUUGCAGAAGCUAAGAUUGCUGACUUGAGACAAAAAUUGGAAGCUUCUAAAAGGGAAAAGUCUAGGCUUUCAGAUAUCCUGAAAUCCAAACAUGAGGAAAAUGAAGCCUACAUAUCUAAAAUAGAGACCAUUGGUCAGGCAUAUGAUGAUAUGCAAGCUCAAAACCAGCAGCUCCUGCAGCAAAUUACAGAGAGAGAUGAUUAUAACAUCUAGGUUCAGGUACUAUGCCGCCUCCGAGAUCUUAGCAUGGAUCGUUGUGGGAGUUAAAGACUCUUUUUUGUUAAUUUUUGUUGUAUUACAUGUAUAUCAAGCCAAGGGCUUCUUUUGUGCAGAGUUAGUACUCUCUUCUUUUCUAACUAUGUGUUGACUUGGAAAGUUGUAAGCCAAUAGGGCAUUUACUUUCGUCGCCAACAUGUAAUACUUCUUGUAAGAAUACUCUGAUGAUUAUAAUAUGAGAUUCCUUUUCUUUA